UACGAAGGGUGCAAGCGUUUAAUCGGAAUUACUGGGCGUAAAGCGUGCGUAGGCGGUUGCUUAAGUCAGAUGUGAAAGCCCUGGGCUCAACCUGGGAAUGGCAUUUGAAACUGGGCAGCUAGAGUGUGAUAGAGGAUGGCGGAAUUCCCGGUGUAGCGGUGAAAUGCGUAGAGAUCGGGAGGAACAUCCGUGGCGAAGGCGGCCAUCUGGAUCAACACUGACGCUGAGGCACGAAAGCGUGGGGAGCAAACAGGG
rnacentral:rRNA from 1 species